GGGUUGUGAGGUUAAGCGACUAAGCGUACACGGUGGAUGCCCUGGCAGUCAGAGGCGAUGAAGGACGUGCUAAUCUGCGAAAAGCGUCGGUAAGGUGAUAUGAACCGUUAUAACCGGCGAUGUCCGAAUGGGGAAACCCAGUGCAAUUCGUUGCACUAUCGUUAACUGAAUACAUAGGUUAACGAGGCGAACCGGGGGAACUGAAACAUCUAAGUACCCCGAGGAAAAGAAAUCAACCGAGAUUCCCCCAGUAGCGGCGAGCGAACGGGGAGCAGCCCAGAGUCUGAAUCAGCUUGUGUGUUAGUGGAACGGUCUGGAAAGUCCGACGGUACAGGGUGAUAGUCCCGUACACCAAAAUGCACAGGUUGUGAACUCGAAGAGUAGGGCGGGACACGUGGUAUCCUGUCUGAAUAUGGGGGGACCAUCCUCCAAGGCUAAAUACUCCUGACUGACCGAUAGUGAACCAGUACCGUGAGGGAAAGGCGAAAAGAACCCCGGCGAGGGGAGUGAAAAAGAACCUGAAACCGUGUACGUACAAGCAGUGGGAGCACCUUCGGGUGUGACUGCGUACCUUUUGUAUAAUGGGUCAGCGACUUAUAUUCUGUAGCAAGGUUAACCGUAUAGGGGAGCCGCAGGGAAACCGAGUCUUAACUGGGCGUUAAGUUGCAGGGUAUAGACCCGAAACCCGGUGAUCUAGCCAUGGGCAGGUUGAAGGUUGGGUAACACUAACUGGAGGACCGAACCGACUAAUGUUGAAAAAUUAGCGGAUGACUUGUGGCUGGGGGUGAAAGGCCAAUCAAACCGGGAGAUAGCUGGUUCUCCCCGAAAGCUAUUUAGGUAGCGCCUCGUGAACUCAUCUUCGGGGGUAGAGCACUGUUUCGGCUAGGGGGUCAUCCCGACUUACCAACCCGAUGCAAACUACGAAUACCGAAGAAUGUUAUCACGGGAGACACACGGCGGGUGCUAACGUCCGUCGUGAAGAGGGAAACAACCCAGACCGCCAGCUAAGGUCCCAAAGUCAUGGUUAAGUGGGAAACGAUGUGGGAAGGCACAGACAGCCAGGAUGUUGGCUUAGAAGCAGCCAUCAUUUAAAGAAAGCGUAAUAGCUCACUGGUCGAGUCGGCCUGCGCGGAAGAUGUAACGGGGCUAAACCAUGCACCGAAGCUGCGGCAGCGACACUAUGUGUUGUUGGGUAGGGGAGCGUUCUGUAAGCCUGCGAAGGUGUGCUGUGAGGCAUGCUGGAGGUAUCAGAAGUGCGAAUGCUGACAUAAGUAACGAUAAAGCGGGUGAAAAGCCCGCUCGCCGGAAGACCAAGGGUUCCUGUCCAACGUUAAUCGGGGCAGGGUGAGUCGACCCCUAAGGCGAGGCCGAAAGGCGUAGUCGAUGGGAAACAGGUUAAUAUUCCUGUACUUGGUGUUACUGCGAAGGGGGGACGGAGAAGGCUAUGUUAGCCGGGCGACGGUUGUCCCGGUUUAAGCAUGUAGGCUGAUUGUCCAGGCAAAUCCGGAUAAUCAAGGCUGAGGUGUGAUGACGAGGCACUACGGUGCUGAAGUAACAAAUGCCCUGCUUCCAGGAAAAGCCUCUAAGCAUCAGGUAACAUCAAAUCGUACCCCAAACCGACACAGGUGGUCAGGUAGAGAAUACCAAGGCGCUUGAGAGAACUCGGGUGAAGGAACUAGGCAAAAUGGUGCCGUAACUUCGGGAGAAGGCACGCUGGUGUGUAGGUGAAGUCCCUGCGGAUGGAGCUGAGACCAGUCGAAGAUACCAGCUGGCUGCAACUGUUUAUUAAAAACACAGCACUGUGCAAACACGAAAGUGGACGUAUACGGUGUGACGCCUGCCCGGUGCCGGAAGGUUAAUUGAUGGGGUUAUCCGUAAGGAGAAGCUCUUGAUCGAAGCCCCGGUAAACGGCGGCCGUAACUAUAACGGUCCUAAGGUAGCGAAAUUCCUUGUCGGGUAAGUUCCGACCUGCACGAAUGGCGUAAUGAUGGCCAGGCUGUCUCCACCCGAGACUCAGUGAAAUUGAACUCGCUGUGAAGAUGCAGUGUACCCGCGGCAAGACGGAAAGACCCCGUGAACCUUUACUAUAGCUUGACACUGAACAUUGAGCCUUGAUGUGUAGGAUAGGUGGGAGGCUUUGAAGCGUGGACGCCAGUCUGCGUGGAGCCAACCUUGAAAUACCACCCUUUAAUGUUUGAUGUUCUAACGUUGGCCCCUGACCGGGGUUGCGGACAGUGUCUGGUGGGUAGUUUGACUGGGGCGGUCUCCUCCCAAAGCGUAACGGAGGAGCACGAAGGUUAGCUAAUCCUGGUCGGACAUCAGGAGGUUAGUGCAAUGGCAUAAGCUAGCUUGACUGCGAGCGUGACGGCGCGAGCAGGUGCGAAAGCAGGUCAUAGUGAUCCGGUGGUUCUGAAUGGAAGGGCCAUCGCUCAACGGAUAAAAGGUACUCCGGGGAUAACAGGCUGAUACCGCCCAAGAGUUCAUAUCGACGGCGGUGUUUGGCACCUCGAUGUCGGCUCAUCACAUCCUGGGGCUGAAGUAGGUCCCAAGGGUAUGGCUGUUCGCCAUUUAAAGUGGUACGCGAGCUGGGUUUAGAACGUCGUGAGACAGUUCGGUCCCUAUCUGCCGUGGGCGCUGGAGAAUUGAGGGGGGCUGCUCCUAGUACGAGAGGACCGGAGUGGACGCAUCACUGGUGUUCGGGUUGUCAUGCCAAUGGCACUGCCCGGUAGCUAAAUGCGGAAGAGAUAAGUGCUGAAAGCAUCUAAGCACGAAACUUGCCCCGAGAUGAGUUCUCCCUGAGACU
rnacentral:rRNA from 2 species